rnacentral:lncRNA from 1 species
GAUAAAAGCAGCACAACCAGUUUUCCAUCUGAUAUUGCUUUUAAUCCCAUUUUCCACCAUUUUUCUCUAUCUUCAAGCUUUCUAUCCUCCACAGGUGACACAAAACUUUCCGGCAUUGGCUCCAUGGCAGCAGCCGUACUUCACCUGAGAUUAUCACGAACAAAAUUAACUUCAUACAUCAAUAUGUGCGUAUAUAUUUGUGUCUGUAUAAAUAUAAGUGUACGUAUAAGUGUGUGUGUGUAACACAAUAACAAAUCCAGAAUCAUCCAAAACUUUCGCCAGAUCUAACCCUAGAUCUCGGUUCGCACAUCCUUCAAUCGUAAAUCAAAGCUCCAACUGGUCUGACGGAAGCUACAAGCACCGAGUUUGUGGAGAUGAGGGCGAUGAAGAUGUGUUCGG